rnacentral:tRNA from 3 species
GGCCUGUUGGUCAAGUGGUUAAGACACCGCCCUUUCACGGCGGUAACACGGGUUCGAAUCCCGUACGGGUCACCA